AUCUUUGGGAAGCAUCUCAGUCACAAGUGUGCAAUUGCAAGAAAGAGCUUAAAAAACACGCACUCGCCGAUAUGGCUUCCAAAAAUCCUUCCUUCAAGAUAAUUCUAGGCUCUUCUUCAAAGGCUCGCAAACAGAUUCUUGCUGAAAUGGGUUACGAAUUCACAAUAAUGACUGCAGACAUUGAUGAGAAAAGUAUUAGGAGGGAAAAGCCACAAGAUUUGGUAGUCACUUUAGCUGAAGCAAAGGCUGAUGCUAUUGUGCAAAGGCUCCUUACUGAUGGUCCAUUGGAGACAGAUGCUUCUUCAACACUGUUAAUCACCGCAGACACUGUUGUGGUAUAUCGAGGAACAAUUAGGGAAAAACCAACUAGUGAAAAAGAAGCAAGGGAAUUCAUCAAAGGAUAUUCGGGUAGUCAUGCAGCUGUGGUAGGAUCUGUUGUGGUGACUAACCUUGCGACUGGAAAACGUUAUGGAGGAUGGGAGAGUGCAGAGGUUUAUUUCCUUGAAAUACCGGAUGAGGUCAUCGAUAAUCUGGAAAUUCUUGUCAACCAAAAUACUAUAUGAGUUUUCUUAUUUGAUGGGAGCUUCUCAGAUUGACGAGGGAGUUACGUUCAAUGUUGCUGGGGGUUUGAUGCUGGAACAUCCAUUGACGCUACCCUUUGUGGACGCGGUGAUUGGAUCAACUGAUACAGUGAUGGGACUUUCCAAAGCUCUUACAGAGAAACUCAUAAUGGAAGCUCUUAUAUAGCUGCUGCAGUUCUACAGUUAUAUUCUGAUUAACACCAUGUGCUGGCUGACUGCAAUAUUACCUCAAUGAUACUCUAAUGUUUUUAUUUGCACAAAUUGUAAUACAAACGAGAGUUCUUGAGGGCUUUAAGAGCUUGAUUUUGUAACCUCAAAGAACACAGUUCAAAUUCUGUAUGAAACAAUUGUACAAUGAACAUUAGUAUCGUUAUUAUAGAAUCCUUGCUAAAUUUUGUUUUUUCAA